CUUCACGCAGGGGCCGUCGUUCUGGUUUGCGGGUACGAAACUCCAGGUCGGCACAAGUGUCCAGUUUCAGGGUCAAGUCCUCCGGUUCGAGGACACGGAUGUAAUCGAAGCGAAAUUUGGUCCUCCAGACUUAAAGAUAUCCUUCAAAUCGAAUUCCUCGUAUAAGGACAAACUUAUCAGCUUCAUCCUCAAAAGAACGGUUGGAUCUUUCCUUUUGGGGAUGGACUUUACCAACGAAGGCGCAGUAAAAUCAACGCCGACGGAGGAGCCUUACAAAAGCGGCGAAAUUGAUCCGGUGUUCAGCGACAAUUUUCGUUUGUUAAACACUUACGUUAAAUGGGGCUCAUUUACAUCGUAUCCGAAGCAAGCGCAGUAAAACAAUACAAUUAAAUGAAUUCGCAACGCUGGACUUCACUACGCCUAUAAGCACACUGG
rnacentral:lncRNA from 1 species